GUGAUAGUACAAAUGCUAAAAUCAGAAAGAUACAGAGAAGAUUAGCAUGACUCUGCACAGGGACAGCGUAUAAAUUCAUUAAGUGCUCCAUGUUCUC
ensembl:snRNA U6 U6 spliceosomal RNA